rnacentral:lncRNA from 1 species
CCCUCGCAUCUCCAAGCAUCUGGUCACAGCCCCGGCCUCCCUGCCAGGUCUCCAGGCAGGCGCUGGGCAAAGGAAAGGAGGCAGGGGACAGUGGGUAGACCUUCCCCAGCCCGGAGAGACCCCUCACUCCGCCUUGGCCUCAGUGAAUCAGGGAGUGCUCCUGACCUGGUGGGCUGCUGCUCCAUUCUGCCUGAAGCUCAGCGCCUUGGAGUCACUACCUUGGGCCACUUGCAUUGUCGACUAUUGAUUGGCCCCGCAAAAGAGGCCUCACCUUGCAGGAAGCAGGCCUGGCACCAGUGUGGAGGCAGGUGCUUUGCUUCUUCCCAGGCCAGGUGGGGCCCCUCUGCUGAGCCCCACCCCAGGGCACAACUGCCAGGCUGCCCGUGAAGCCGCUGGCGUUGGAUAGAGAAACUGAGGUGCAGGCCGUGAUGUGUCCAGGAUCAAAUCCAGAGCUAACACAGGAGAGUUAUGGAUAGAAGAAAGACAGGUGUCCUGCCUCCAGGUGCAAUUUCUGGCCUCUUUGAGCAUCUCAGUUGCUAAUUCCACCAGAACAGGGAUGCUCGGCUCUGCUCAGAGCCUAGGUCAAAAUCGCCAUGGCUGGAGGAGAAUUUCUGACUUUCAGAUAUCCUUGAGAAUCCAAACCCUUCACAAACAGCCUAGGGAAGGAGACCUUUUAAAUAAAAUACUCUUACCAUCC